UGCAGUCGAACGGUAACAGGAAGCAGCUUGCUGCUUCGCUGACGAGUGGCGGACGGGUGAGUAAUGUCUGGGAAACUGCCUGAUGGAGGGGGAUAACUACUGGAAACGGUAGCUAAUACCGCAUAACGUCGCAAGACCAAAGAGGGGGACCUUCGGGCCUCUUGCCAUCGGAUGUGCCCAGAUGGGAUUAGCUAGUAGGUGGGGUAACGGCUCACCUAGGCGACGAUCCCUAGCUGGUCUGAGAGGAUGACCAGCCACACUGGAACUGAGACACGGUCCAGACUCCUACGGGAGGCAGCAGUGGGGAAUAUUGCACAAUGGGCGCAAGCCUGAUGCAGCCAUGCCGCGUGUAUGAAGAAGGCCUUCGGGUUGUAAAGUACUUUCAGCGGGGAGGAAGGUGUUGAGGUUAAUAACCUCAGCAAUUGACGUUACCCGCAGAAGAAGCACCGGCUAACUCCGUGCCAGCAGCCGCGGUAAUACGGAGGGUGCAAGCGUUAAUCGGAAUUACUGGGCGUAAAGCGCACGCAGGCGGUCUGUCAAGUCGGAUGUGAAAUCCCCGGGCUCAACCUGGGAACUGCAUUCGAAACUGGCAGGCUAGAGUCUUGUAGAGGGGGGUAGAAUUCCAGGUGUAGCGGUGAAAUGCGUAGAGAUCUG
rnacentral:rRNA from 1 species